rfam:Myotis brandtii contig186325, whole genome shotgun sequence.
GCCAUUGUUGCUCAGUGGUUGGAGCAUUGGCCCAUGCACCAAAGGUUCGCAGGUUCGAUUCCCUGUUAAGGGCA